UACGUAGGGUGCGAGCGUUGUCCGGAAUUACUGGGCGUAAAGAGCUCGUAGGUGGUUUGUCGCGUUGUUCGUGAAAACCGGGGGCUUAACCCUCGGCGUGCGGGCGAUACGGGCAGACUUGAGUACUGCAGGGGAGACUGGAAUUCCUGGUGUAGCGGUGGAAUGCGCAGAUAUCAGGAGGAACACCGGUGGCGAAGGCGGCAUCCUGGACCGGCAUUGACGCUGAGGAGCGAAAGCUAGGGGAGCAAACGGG
rnacentral:rRNA from 1 species